CAUUCAGCGUCUUCACCAAGAUGCUGUUUUGCGUGAUUUCUGACAUCGUAAAGAGGAGAUCGAUCCGAGCUUGGAUCGCGAAACAUAUCGCAAGAUAUGUAUUUCGGGCUUGCACUAUCUCCUGGCCGCUCAUUCUGAAGCAUCGCAAGAUGGUUCGGCAUGGCAUCGGGCGUCGCAAGACGGCCGGUGUUGUUACCUUGUGUGACAGCGUCUUUGUUAGUGAAGCUUGACCGCCUCACUAUCGGUUCGAUCUUACGAAGCAAGCUGGUCUUUCUAAUCAUAUCCAGCUGCAU
rnacentral:misc_RNA from 1 species